GACGAACGCUGGCGGCGUGAUUAACACAUGCAAGUCGAACGGAAAGGCCCUGCUUGCAGGGUACUCGAGUGGCGAACGGGUGAGUAACACGUGGGUGAUCUGCCCUGCACUUCGGGAUAAGCCUGGGAAACUGGGUCUAAUACCGGAUAGGAGCCAUUUUUAGUGUGAUGGUUGGAAAGUUUUUUUCGGUGUAGGAUGAGCUCGCGGCCUAUCAGCUUGUUGGUGGGGUAAUGGCCUACCAAGGCGGCGACGGGUAGCCGGCCUGAGAGGGUGGACGGCCACAUUGGGACUGAGAUACGGCCCAGACUCCUACGGGAGGCAGCAGUGGGGAAUAUUGCACAAUGGGCGCAAGCCUGAUGCAGCGACGCCGCGUGGGGGAUGACGGCCUUCGGGUUGUAAACUCCUUUCGCUAGGGACGAAGCUUUUUGUGACGGUACCUAGAUAAGAAGCACCGGCUAACUACGUG
rnacentral:rRNA from 1 species